AGAGUUUGAUCGUGGCUCAGAGCGAACGCUGGCGGCAGGCUUAACACAUGCAAGUCGAGCGGGCGUAGCAAUACGUCAGCGGCAGACGGGUGAGUAACGCGUGGGAACGUACCUUUUGGUUCGGAACAACACAGGGAAACUUGUGCUAAUACCGGAUAAGCCCUUACGGGGAAAGAUUUAUCGCCGAAAGAUCGGCCCGCGUCUGAUUAGCUAGUUGGUAGGGUAAUGGCCUACCAAGGCGACGAUCAGUAGCUGGUCUGAGAGGAUGAUCAGCCACAUUGGGACUGAGACACGGCCCAAACUCCUACGGGAGGCAGCAGUGGGGAAUAUUGGACAAUGGGGGCAACCCUGAUCCAGCCAUGCCGCGUGAGUGAUGAAGGCCCUAGGGUUGUAAAGCUCUUUUGUGCGGGAAGAUAAUGACGGUACCGCAAGAA
rnacentral:rRNA from 1 species